AGGAGCAACAGCCCUAGUGGCGGGGCCAGCUCUGCAGCCCUGGAUUCAGCCCCCGUAGGAACUCCGGGGCUCUCCGUCUGCAGGGCCUGGAGGCUCCGGGGCGGG
rnacentral:pre_miRNA from 1 species